rnacentral:piRNA from 1 species
CCCACAGUUGAAAGCACCUAUGUACUUUGU